GACGAACGCUGGCGGCGUGCCUAAUACAUGCCAGUCGAACGCUGCAGGCGGAGCUUGCUUCUCUGGAUGAGUUGCGACCGGGUGAGUAACGCUUAGGUAACCUGCCUGGUAGCGGGGGAUAACUAUUGGAAACGUUAGCUAAUACCGCAUAAGAGUAGAUGUUGCAUGAUAUUUGCUUAAAAGGUGCAAUUGCAUCUCUACCAGAUGGAUCUGCGUUGUAUUAGCUAGUUGGUGGGGUAACGGCUCACCAAGCCGACGAUACAUAGCCGACCUGCGAGGGUGAUCAGCCACACUGGGACUGAGACACGGCCCAGACUCCUACGGAAGGCAGCAGGAGGGAAUCUCCGGCGAUGGACGGAAGUCGGACCGAGCAACGCCGCGGGAGAGAAGAAGGGUAUCGGAUCGUAAAGCUCUGUUAUGAGAGAAGGACGGGAGUGAGAGUUGAAAGUUCACACUAUGACGGUAUCUGACCAGAAAGGGACGGCUAACUACGUG
rnacentral:rRNA from 1 species